rnacentral:lncRNA from 1 species
CAUAGAUUUGUAUUGUUUAUGUGAUGUAUAUAUAAAGUUACCUCAGUUGACUUGAGUUUAAUGGUUGUAUUUGUUGUUAUAAUUGGGGUUACCUCAGGUAACCCUGUCAUGAAUGAAUACUUCAGAUCAUUAAUUGAACUUUUAUAAAAAAAAAAAAAAAAAAAGUUUAUAAUUUUACCAGCCAUCCCCACCCUACACGUACAUACGAAAUGAAUGAUCGGUGAAUACAAAUAAUAAAAUCAUUUGGGAAGUUUGUUGACAUCUUUGGUAUUUGGUCACAUUAAAAUUUGGUAUUAAGAUCUAUCUAAAUAAGAACUAUAUUUUCGUGCGUAUUUAAUCAAUGACGCAUUACCACGAUUACCUCAGGGCACCGAUUACCUCAGGGCAUACAGCAGCGGACCUAACUGCCACCUGCACAUGU